GGCCAGGGUGUAAAUGGCUUUUAAUGACUGCAGCUGCUGGCUGAAAACUGUCAAUGGAAUUGGCUAAUUCAGAGCUCCCGAAUCUUGCGAGCUCUUUGCAUAGUGCCGCUGAAUCCGGACGAGCUGAACUAGAGAGUUACUGUCGAGGGGAGAGAUACGAAGCCAUGAUCGCCAGCAGCAGGGAAAGCAAACAAGAGGACUGGGAAAGCAAACCCCUCUCUACUCGGAAAAUCCUUUCCGGAUCCUGCUUUUCUCCUCCGGCUCAGCCGCCCCAGUGGAAGAAAGGGCAGACGGGGAGCGGAGCGGCACGGCCCCCCGGGACGAGCAGUGACACUGGGCUCCAAACAGAAAGGCGAGAUACUUGCUACAAACUCCGAUCCUGCUUUUUCCCCUGACCCAGAACCGGCUCGUUUUUAUUCCUUUCUCGGCUUGCACCGCCUAGCCAGGCCAGCUGCAGUCGCGGAGGCUGGUGUUUCCCUCACUCUCACAGGAGACAAAAUAAAUCGGAGUCAGUUUCACGGUCCCUGAGAUUCAUCUACUCCAGAUUUACACCGGUGUAGCCUUAUUACCUUCAGUGAUAUCGCAGUAUUACUGCGAGUAGACUCGGGCCAAUAGCUGUGGGACUAGUUGCGUUGAACAUUAUAUGACUCUGUUUUCUGUCACGGUAGCUCAACGCCACACCAUGGGAGCAUAUAUCCUCAUCAGCUAGAUAAUUCACCAAUAGUGGAGACUGUGAAAACAUCUUUCCGCGGUAGCACAUUUAUACAUCGAGAGAAACCAUGUUUCCCCUUCCCGCUCUGAAGUUUGCAAAGCCACUACAGGAUGCAGUUAACAUGUUUAACUAUGCAGUCCCAUAAAUGCCCAAGUGAUAAAAAAGCCACAUUUUGUUUUUCAGCAUUGAGAGUGCCGCUUUUGUAGACCAAUGCACUACAUAAAGUAGAUGUAUUUGUGUUAUUACUAACAUUUUUUCCUUGUGCAUAAUCCCUUAUGCCUUUUAUUAUAAUCCUACAUAUUACAGUUAAUCUGUAAUGAUACUGCUU